AUUGAACGCUGGCGGCAGGCUUAACACAUGCAAGUCGAGCGGGGGAGGUUGCUUCGGUAACUGACCUAGCGGCGGACGGGUGAGUAAAGCUUAGGAAUCUGCCUAUUAGUGGGGGACAACAUUCCGAAAGGGAUGCUAAUACCGCAUACGCCCUACGGGGGAAAGCAGGGGAUCUUCGGACCUUGCGCUAAUAGAUGAGCCUAAGUCGGAUUAGCUAGUUGGUGGGGUAAAGGCCUACCAAGGCGACGAUCUGUAGCGGGUCUGAGAGGAUGAUCCGCCACACUGGGACUGAGACACGGCCCAGACUCCUACGGGAGGCAGCAGUGGGGAGUAUUGGACAAUGGGGGGAACCCUGAUCCAGCCAUGCCGCGUGUGUGAAGAAGGCCUUUUGGUUGUAAAGCACUUUAAGCGAGGAGGAGGCUUACCU
rnacentral:rRNA from 1 species